CUGUGCUCAGGCUGCCCGGCCCCCGCCAUGGGGGAGGGAGAGAAGGAGAGGGAAGGGGGGGCGUCUCCCCAACAGGAUCCAGGUACUUUGAUAAAACCAGGAAACUCACCUUUCAGCAAACCCAUCUUUGCUGAAGAGGUUGCAUUGCAGCAGUUCAUUACAAGAUGGCCUCUUUUCUGGAUUAGUUUGCAGGCAUUGCUGAAAUUAAAAUGGCUGAACAAAGUCCGAAAACUAAGAAAGAAGGAUGGAAAAAUAUGCAGCUUAUACCUGGUUUCCUCUUACAUAAACUUGAUCAAACUUUAAUGAUUCUUCAAAGAAUGUUACAACCUGAAGCUUUAUCGUUGGAUAAAGAUAAACAAAAGGACUUUGACCCAGUUCCAGAUCAAAGAGAUAGUCUCAUGGCUGAAGAAUCAGAAAAGUGGUUGUUGUUCAGAAGUCUGUCUGAAGUCUUAUGGCUUCAGCUAGAAGAGAGGGAGACAACUUCCUUUCCUCUAUGAAGGAAUCCCUUUCUUAUAUGAAAACAGAGGAAGACUGGAUGGAUUUAUUACAGUUAAGUGGUAACUACUUCCGCUUGCACGUUGACCCAAAGACAGACAUAGUCUGGAGACUGCAUAUACUACAUUUAAUUAAACAAUAAUUGACAAGAGAGGAUAUUAAGAAACAGACAUGGAUUUUUGAUUCAGGACAAUCUAUUUAUAACUUUUGGGGUGAUCCGGGAUAGUUAAGAUACCCUGGUAAAUUUUCUACAAGUGAAUUACAAUAACAACUUGUUAACAGAAAGAUUUUAAACUUUAAUUUUGUUCUGUUUUACUAUUAUUGUUUUUCCAGCUAACUAUCAUUAAUAUAACAUAUAGAAGACAGAUCAACAUUCCUAAUAGAUUUAGUAGUUCAAAAAUUUGGGAGAGCCUGUUUUGCAAGGGGUAGGAACUAAUUGUAAUUAUGUAUUAAUCAGUAUUCAGCUAGAGGGGAUAAUAUGUGUAUAAUAUACUGUUGUUGAUGCACCCUUUUUUAAUGUUCUGUUUUGUGGGUUUUUUUCCUUUUAUG